GAUGAACGCUGGCGGCGUGCCUAAUACAUGCAAGUCGAGCGAACAGACGAGGAGCUUGCUCCUCUGACGUUAGCGGCGGACGGGUGAGUAACACGUGGAUAACCUACCUAUAAGACUGGGAUAACUUCGGGAAACCGGAGCUAAUACCGGAUAAUAUAUUGAACCGCAUGGUUCAAUAGUGAAAGACGGUUUUGCUGUCACUUAUAGAUGGAUCCGCGCCGCAUUAGCUAGUUGGUAAGGUAACGGCUUGCCAAGGCAACGAUGCGUAGCCGACCUGAGAGGGUGAUCGGCCACACUGGAACUGAGACACGGUCCAGACUCCUACGGGAGGCAGCAGUAGGGAAUCUUCCGCAAUGGGCGAAAGCCUGACGGAGCAACGCCGCGUGAGUGAUGAAGGUCUUCGGAUCGUAAAGCUCUGUUAUUAGGGAAGAACAAAUGUGUAAGUAACUAUGCACGUCUUGACGGUACCUAAUCAGAAAGCCACGGCUAACUACGUG
rnacentral:rRNA from 1 species